rnacentral:rRNA from 1 species
AUUGAACGCUGGCGGCAUGCCUUACACAUGCAAGUCGAACGGCAGCGGACCUUCGGGUGCCGGCGAGUGGCGAACGGGUGAGUAAUAUAAUCGGAACGUACCUUUCAGUGGGGGAUAACGUAGCGAAAGUUACGCUAAUACCGCAUAUUCUGUGAGCAAGAAAGCAGGGGAUCGCAAGACCUUGCGCUGAUUGAGCGGCCGAUAUCAGAUUAGCUAGUUGGUGAGUAAAGGCUCACCAAGGCGACGAUCUGUAGCGGGUCUGAGAGGAUGAUCCGCCACACUGGAACUGAGACAGGUCCAGACUCCUACGGAGGCAGCAGUGGGGAAUUUUGGACAAUGGGCGCAAGCCUGAUCC